CGGGUGCACUGAUCCGGCCGGGCCUUUCCCUCUGUGGAACCCCAUGGCCUUCACUGGCUGUGCGGGGGAAACAGGACUUUUACUGUGAAAAAAUUAGAGUGCUCCAGGCAGGCCUAUGCUCGAAUACAUUAGCAUGGAAUAAUAGAAUAGGACGCGUGGUUCUAUUUUGUUGGUUUCUAGGACCGCCGUAAUGAUUAAUAGGGACAGUCGGGGGCAUCAGUAUUCAAUUGUCAGAGGUGAAAUUCUUGGAUCUAUUGAAGACUAACUACUGCGAAAGCAUUUGCCAAGGAUGUUUUCAUUGAUAAGGAACGAAAGUUAGGGGAUCGAAGACGAUCAGAUACCGUCGUAGUCUUAACUAUAAACUAUGCCGACUAGGGAUCGGACGAUGUUAUUUCUUGACGCGUUCGGCACCUCUCGAGAAAUCAAAGUGCUUGGGCUCCAGGGGGAGUAUGGUCGCAAGGCUGAAACUUAAAGAAAUUGACGGAAGGGCACCACCAGGGGUGGAACCUGCGGCUUAAUUUGACUCAACACGGGGAAACUCACCAGGUCCAGACACAGUGAGGAUUGACAGAUUGAGAGCUCUUUCUUGAUUCUGUGGGUGGUGGUGCAUGGCCGUUCUUAGUUGGUGGAGUGAUUUGUCUGCUUAAUUGCGAUAACGAACGAGACCUUAACCUGCUAAAUAGCCCGUACUGCUCUGGCAGUUCGCCGGCUUCUUAGAGGGACUAUCGG
rnacentral:rRNA from 1 species